AAGAAAGUAAAUAAGGGCACACGGGGGAUGCCUAGGCUCCCAGAGGCGAAGAAGGACGCGACAAGCUGCGAUAAGCCGCGGGGAUCGGCACAUACGAAUCGAUCCGCGGAUUUCCGAAUGGGGCAACCCGGCAUGCUGAAGGCAUGUCAUUCCUUACCUUUUGGUAAGGGAGGCGAACGCGCUGAACUGAAACAUCUAAGUAGGCGCAGGAGAAGAAAACAAGAGUGAUUCCGCAAGUAGUGGCGAGCGAACGCGGAACAGCCCAAACCCGACAUGUUACGGCAUGUGGGGGGUUGUAGGACCGAGCUAUUGCACGAUACGAUGAACCGGAAGCAGGUGGGAAACUGCGCGGUAUGGGUGAGAGCCCCGUACGGGUAAAGACUAUCGGCAUAUCGGUAUCCUGAGUAGGGCGGGACCGGAGAAAUCCUGCCUGAAUCGGGCGGCACCAUCCGCCAAGGCUAAAUACUCCUGGGAGACCGAUAGUGGACCAGUACCGUGAGGGAAAGGUGAAAAGGACCCCGAACAGGGGAGUGAAAAGAACCUGAAACCGUGUGCUUACAAUCGGUCGGAGCGGAUUUUUUCCGUGACGGCGUGCCUUUUGCAUAAUGAGCCUACGAGUUGCUCCUGUCCGGCAAGGUUAACCCGUUCAGCGGGGGAGCCGGAGCGAAAGCGAGUCCUAACAGGGCGUAGAGUCGGGCGGGGCAGACGCGAAACCUAGUGAUCUACCCUUGGGCAGGUUGAAGUUGCGGUAACACGCAAUGGAGGACCGAACCGAUAAACGUUGAAAAGUUUCCGGAUGACCUGAGGGUAGGGGUGAAAGGCCAAUCAAACUGGGAAAUAGCUCGUACUCCCCGAAAUGUUUUUAGGAACAGCGUCGGGAUAAAGUUUAACGGAGGUAGAGCUACCGAUUGGGUGCGGGGGAGUCAAAUCCUACCAAAUCCAGACGAACUCCGAAUGCCGUUAAAUAUGUCCGGCAGUGAGGCUUUGGGUGCUAAGGUCCAAGGCCGAGAGGGAAAGAACCCAGACCAUCAGCUAAGGUCCCCAAAUCCGUUCUAAGUUGAUCUAACGAGGUCCGGCUGCCCAGACAGCUAGGAUGUUGGCUUGGAAGCAGCCAUUCAUUUAAAGAGUGCGUAACAGCUCACUAGUCGAGCGGCCGGGCGUGGAUAAUAAACGGGCAUCAAGAACGGUACCGAAGCUAUGGACUGGUAGAAUUAUCUACCAUUGGUAGGGGAGCAUUCCAUGCGGGGCGAAUCGUCAGGGUGACCUGGCGUGGACUGUAUGGAAAAGCAAAUGUAGGCAUGAGUAACGAUAAGGCGGGUGGGAAACCCGCCCACCGAAAGACCAAGGUUUCCUGAUCAACGCUAAUCGGAUCAGGGUCAGUCGGGACCUAAGGCCCACCCGAAGGGGGAUGGCCGAUGGACAACCGGUUAAUAUUCCGGUACCCUUUUAUACUGCGAUGCGGUGACGUAGAGGUGAUACUGCCGCGCACUGACGGAAUAGUGCGUUGAAGGGGGUAGGUAUAGGAAGUGCAGGCAAAUCCGCACAUCCUGC
rnacentral:rRNA from 1 species